UACAGAGGUCCCGAGCGUUGUUCGGAUUCACUGGGCGUAAAGGGUGCGUAGGUGGUGAUGAAAGUUUGAUGUGAAAUCUCCGGGCUUAACCCGGAAAUGGCAUUGAAUACUCCAUUGCUGGAGGAUUGGAGGGGGGACUGGAAUUCUCGGUGUGGCAGUGAAAUGCGUAGAUAUCCGGAGGAACACCAGUGGCGAAGGCGGCUCUCUGGGGUGCAACUGACGCUGAGGUGCGAAAGCGUGGGGAGCGAACCGG
rnacentral:rRNA from 1 species